rnacentral:rRNA from 1 species
CGGCGGACGGGUGAGUAAUGCAUAGGAAUCUGCCCGGUAGUGGGGGAUAACCUGGGGAAACUCAGGCUAAUACCGCAUACGUCCUACGGGAGAAAGCAGGGGAUCUUCGGACCUUGCGCUAUCGGAUGAGCCUAUGUCGGAUUAGCUAGUUGGUGAGGUAACGGCUCACCAAGGCCGCGAUCCGUAGCUGGUCUGAGAGGAUGAUCAGCCACAUCGGGACUGAGACACGGCCCGAACUCCUACGGGAGGCAGCAGUGGGGAAUAUUGGACAAUGGGCGAAAGCCUGAUCCAGCCAUGCCGCGUGUGUGAAGAAGGCCCUCGGGUUGUAAAGCACUUU